rnacentral:rRNA from 1 species
GAUGAACGCUAGCGGCAGGCUUAACACAUGCAAGUCGAGGGGUAACAGGGGUGCUUGCACUCGCUGACGACCGGCGCACGGGUGCGUAACGCGUAUAGAAUCUACCUUUACAGGGGGAUAGCCUUUAGAAAUGAAGAUUAAUAUCCCAUAGUAUUGCGAAACGGCAUCGUUUUGUAAUUAAAGAUUUAUCGGUAAAAGAUGACUAUACGUCCUAUUAGCUAGAUGGUAAGGUAACGGCUUACCAUGGCAAUGAUAGGUAGGGGUCCUGAGAGGGAGAUCCCCCACACUGGUACUGAGACACGGACCAG